rnacentral:rRNA from 1 species
UACGUAGGGGGCAAGCGUUAUCCGGAUUUACUGGGUGUAAAGGGGGCGCAGACGGCGAUGCAAGCCAGGAGUGAAAGCCCGGGGCCCAACCCCGGGACUGCUCUUGGAACUGCGUGGCUGGAGUGCAGGAGGGGCAGGCGGAAUUCCUGGUGUAGCGGUGAAAUGCGUAGAUAUCAGGAGGAACACCGGUGGCGAAGGCGGCCUGCUGGACUGUGACUGACGUUGAGGCCCGAAGGCGUGGGGAGCAAACAGG